GUACUCUUUGGAAGAAAGUCACUAUGCACAGUCCACACUUGAGGAUAAAGUUGGCUAUUCUAGGCCUUUUGUCUUUUCACAUGAACUUUAGAAUCCGUUUGUCAAUAUCUACUAAAUAGCUAGCUGAGAUGUUGACUGGGAUCACGUUGAAUCUACAGAUCAAGUUGGGGAAACUAACAUCUUAAAUUUCAAUGUCUGUUGCUGGGAAACAGAAAUACUAUUAAUUUUUAUAUAUUGAUCUUGUAUCCUACAACCUUGCUAAACCAACUUAUUAAUUCUAAUAACUUUCAUAUAGAUCCUAAAGGAUAUUCUAGGUAGAUGAUCACCCCAUCUGCAAAGAAAGGCAGGUUUACUUUUUCCUUUCCAAUCUGGAUGCCUUCUAUAUAUCUCUCUUGCCUUACUACACUGGCUAAAACUUCCACACAACAUUGAAGUGGCAACGAUGAACAUACUGCCUUGUCCCUGAUUUUUAGGGAGAAAGCACACAAUCUUUCACUGUUGUGAUAUUAAAUUAUAGAUUCUACAUAGAUUUUUCAUAUUUACCCCUUAUAUCCCUAGUGCAGUAAGACAUUUCAUCAGGAAAGGAUGUUGAAUUUUGUGAAAUGCAUUUUAAUUUGUCAUUUACACUGAGUAACUUGCAAAUAUUAAACCAAUCAUGCAUUCCCAGGAUAUACUCCAUUUUGUUAUAAUACAUUAUCUGUUUUAUGUAUUGGAUUUGAUUUGCUAAAAUAUUGUUCAGUUUUAUACCUAUAUUCAUGGCAGCCAGGCUGUAAGAUGACCCCCAAUGAUCUGCCUCCCUUGAGCAGUCCUCUCCUGUAUUAUUCCACAAUAAUUGACCAAUAUAGUGUAAGUAUUGCUGUGUCACUCCUGAGAAUAGCUUACAGAAGACACUGUGGCUUCCAUCUUGCUUGCUCUCUCUCACUUGGAUCACUCAUGCUGAGGAAAGCUAGCUUCCAUGUUAUAAGCAUUCCUAUAGAGAGGUCCACACAGCAAAAGAAUUGAGGCCUCUUGCCAGUGGCCAUAUGAGUGAGUUUAACAUCAGAUUCUCCAGCCCUAGUCAAGCCUUCAGAUGACUUCCACCUUGGAUGAUAGAUUGAUUACAACCUGAUGAGAAAACCUAAGCCAGAAUCAUCUAGCUAAGCCACUCUCUGAAUUCCAAAUCCUCAGAAACUAAGAAAAUACAUGUUUUGUUAUGAAGCAAUAAAAAUAACAGACAUUAAAUUACAUGGAACAGUUUGACCUUUUCUGGCCUUGUUUUUAAGCUUUGUUAGGCUGCAGAAGAACUCAAUCUAAGCAAGACCUUUCUUAGUACUUUACUCAAUACCCUGUGAAUAACGAGGAUUUCCAUUCCAGGUACUGUUCUUUCUGUUCUUUCAGAUGGUUCUUUCCUCAGCCUCAAGUGGCCUCUCUGUUCACAGGUGUACUAAUGAUGCUCACCUGAAUACUCAAAGGAGUACCUCUGCAGAUUUCGUUUUCUUUGUGCAGCUCUCUCCUACAUAGUAUGCUGCCCUAUGAAUUCCAGCUACUUUGGCUUUCCCAAACUCUCAGGUCCAUAUCCUCAACUUUCCUGGUUCCUCCUUCCUAUGCUAUGGCCUAUAAAUUCUCUCCAGACAGCUAGCUGGGACAGUCAUUACUUCAUUUGUUUCCUGUCUCCCAGGGAUCACUGACCUUCACGGCCUGAUGUCCAAUGACGUCAGGACUAUUGCUUCAUUUAUUUACUCUGGUGUUUCACAUAGGAAGGCAAACCAGGUUAGUCUUUCUUAAGUUCCAGAAAAACAGAACAAAUAGGAUGUGUGUAUAUAAAGAAAUAUUAUUUUAAGGAAUUAGUUCAUGCAAUUAUUGAGACUGACAAGUCCAAAAUCUGUAGGGUAGACUGGAAGCCUGGAGAGCCAAAGAAGAGACAAUCUUGCCCUUCAAGUUAAAAGGCCAUCUGCUGGCAGACUUCCUUUUUGCUCAGGGGGGGUCAAUCUUUGUUCUAUUAAGGAUGGUCAACCAGAUGGGACUAGGCCCACCUACACAAUGAAGGGCAAUCUGCUUUACUCAAAGCUCAACAAUUUAAAGGUUACUCUUACCCAAAAACACCCUCACAGAAACAUCCAGAAUAACGUUUGACCAAAUAUCUAGGCACCAUGGCCCAAACAAGUUGACACAUAAAAUUAACCCUCAUAGUAGUUUAAGGAAAUAAAUAAUUACAUUGAGUGUGAGGAACCUAGAUAAAAAGACACAAAUAUAAAGUCAAAAAGUACCUGAUUUUUAAAAAUUGAAUUUAUGAGUAUAACUCAUGGCGUAUUUUUCUUUUUCACAAAAAGCCAAAAUGUAUAUUUUCUAACCCAGUUCCCUAAAAGGGUCUAGAACCUCUAGUAAUGAAUAUUACAUGUGCCUAGAUUAAAGUAUCGAAAUACCAUUUCUUAUUAAAAGGAACCAAAGCAUUUUGGAGCCAUAGCUUCCUUUGGCAAGCUGGACUACUUUCUCACUACUGGGCACCCUUUUAAGGGCUUGUGAUCUCAUCUGAAGGUGACUUCAUAGGAAUUACCCAAAUUUAACUGUACUGGGUGAGUCACAGCUCCUGGGAGCAUGCAGAGAGGAGUAUGGGUGCCACAACUCCCAGAAACUCACUCCUGGCACAGACCUUGACUCUAUCAUUAUUUACACUCUCAUCUCAGAGAGAACUGGAUCUUCCUAGAAUGUGGUCUAGGCCCUUUUUGGCGCAAGAGUGCAGGCUUGAUUCCACAAGUGAAUUUAGAUUUAGAUUUAGGAACCUAAAUCUUCAUUGCAAGAAAAUCUCCCCUAAAUAAAGUCAGAAAAGUGAAUGUGUCAGAAUAAAUGUGUUAGUAAAUAUAUUUUAUGAAACAACUAUACAGGUAUACAAAAAUAAUCUGUCUAGAGUAAGGCUGGACAUAUUUAAGUUGGUUCUAAGACCUCUUGUGAUACCAGAAAGCAAAGAAGGUAUGAAAGAAUACUGGAGUUAGAUCAGAAGAACACAGGAGACAAUUCGAAGGGGCUCAGUGGCCAACAGUAAUGACAAAUGACUAAUGUAUGAAAACACAUCAAGAAUAAUUUUUUUAAAUCCAUGAAUGCAUACUAAUACUCAGAAUUAGAGAGGACUUCAUGAUCACCUUUGGAGUGAUGCUAGAACAUAACUCAUUAUCUGGAAACUUAUAAAAAGGAAAAGAAUCAAGCAUUCUACUGCUUUUAACUGGAUGACAGGUUUUCUUUACAAAUAAUUCUUGCUAAUAAAUACAAAAUAAAAAAUAAAAAAAAUUCCAUUUUUCAACCCCUAAGAGAAAUAAUGGCUCUAGGAAACAAUCAUCAAUAGCUGCUAAGAGAUAAAAUGAAAGGUUCAUGGGGAACUUUAUAAUGACUGGAUCAAGUCGACAAUACCUAAAUUAAAAAUACUGAUCAACCUUAACAUCCCAAAGAAACAGUUAUGUGUCUUCUAAUGAAAUUCAAUAGGGAGUAUAUGCAGAACUAUCUAUGAAGUAUUUUUUAUCAAAAGAAAGAUCAUCAAUCUGAUCAAACCUCAUAUUCAACUACAGCUUUCUGAAAAUGUAAAAGUAAGAGGAAAAUGUUAAAGGACAUGAUGAAAAUGAAAUCCCAAAUUUACAAAAUGACACUGGAGAAAUAAGAAGUUGUUUUCCAACAAAUAAAU
rnacentral:lncRNA from 1 species